UACGAAGGGGCUAGCGUUGCUCGGAAUCACUGGGCGUAAAGCGCACGUAGGCGGCUUCUAAGUCAGGGGUGAAAUCCUGGAAGCUCAACUCCAGAACUGCCUUUGAUACUGGCGAUCUCGAGUCCGGGAGAGGUGAGUGGAACUGCGAGUGUAGAGGUGAAAUUCGUAGAUAUUCGCAAGAACACCAGUGGCGAAGGCGGCUCACUGGCCCGGUACUGACGCUGA
rnacentral:rRNA from 1 species